rnacentral:rRNA from 1 species
UCCUACGGGGGGCAGCAGUGGGGAAUAUUGCACAAUGGGGGAAACCCUGAUGCAGCGAUGCCGCGUGGAGGAAGAAGGUUUUCGGAUUGUAAACUCCUUUUAUCAGGGACGAUAAUGACGGUACCCGAAGAAAAAGCAUCGGCUAACUCCGUGCCAGCAGCCGCGGUAAUACGGAGGAUGCGAGCGUUAUCCGGAUUUAUUGGGUUUAAAGGGUGCGCAGGCGGAUUUUUAAGUCAGCGGUCAAAUCGUGGGGCUCAACCCCAUCCAGCCGUUGAAACUGGGGAUCUAGAGUGUGCGAGAGGUAG